GACGAACGCUGGCGGCGUGCUUAACACAUGCAAGUCGUACGGUAAGGCCCUUUCGGGGGUACACGAGUGGCGAACGGGUGAGUAACACGUGGGUAACCUGCCCACAACUUUGGGAUAACGCUAGGAAACUGGGGCUAAUACUGGAUAUGUGCUCCUGCUGCAUGGUGGGGGUGGGAGAGCUCCGGCGGUUGUGGGUGGACUCGCGGCCUAUCAGCUUGUUGGUGGGGUAGUGGCCUACCAAGGCGGCGACGGGUAGCCGGCCUGAGAGGGUGACCGGCCACAUUGGGACUGAGAUACGGCCCAGACUCCUACGGGAGGCAGCAGUGGGGAAUAUUGCACAAUGGGCGCAAGCCUGAUGCAGCAACGCCGCGUGCGGGAUGACGGCCUUCGGGUUGUAAACCGCUUUCAGCAGGGACGAAGCUUUUUGUGACGGUACCUGCAGAAGAAGCACCGGCUAACUACGUG
rnacentral:rRNA from 1 species